UACGGAGGGUGCGAGCGUUACCCGGAAUCACUGGGCGUAAAGGGCGUGUAGGCGGCUUUUCAAGUCCGGCUUUAAAGACCGAGGCUCAACCUCGGGAGUGGGCUGGAUACUGGAAGGCUUGACGGCUGGAGGGGCGGGUGGAAUUCUCGGUGUAGAGGUGGAAUGCGUAGAUACCGAGAGGAACACCAGUGGCGAAGGCGGCCCGCUGGACAGCUUGUGACGCUGAGGCGCGAAAGUGUGGGGAGCGAACCGG
rnacentral:rRNA from 1 species